UACACAGUAUGGGAGGCUAGAGCUCUGUAUUUAGCCAUCGAAUGAACACAGCGGGGUUGGCAGCAUGGCAUGAUUCUCCAUUUUAUCUCACCAGCAUGAGUCAGCCAUGACCUAGAAGGCUCACCUGCAGAGAAGAUGGCUUGGUCUCCAUGACACAUUAAAUCUUUGAGCUCU
rnacentral:sRNA from 1 species